rnacentral:rRNA from 1 species
CUACGGGGGGCAGCAGUGGGGAAUAUUGCACAAUGGAGGAAACUCUGAUGCAGCAACGCCGCGUGGAGGAUGACACUUUUCGGAGCGUAAACUCCUUUUAUAUAGGAAGAAGAUGACGGUACUAUAUGAAUAAGCGCCGGCUAACUCCGUGCCUGCAGCCGCGGUAAUACGGAGGGCGCAAGCGUUACUCGGAAUCACUGGGCGUAAAGAGCGUGUAGGCGGAUUAAAAAGUCAGAAGUGAAAUCCUAUAGCUUAACUAUAGAACUGCUUCUGAAACUCUUAAUCUAGAAUGUGGGAGAGGUAGAUGGAAUUUCUGGUGUAGGGGUAAAAUCCGUAGAGAUCAGAAGGAAUACCGAUUGCGAAGGCGAUCUACUAGAACAUUAUUGACGCUGAGACGCGAAAGCGUGGGGAGCAAACAGGAUUAGAUACCCCAGUAGUC